rnacentral:rRNA from 1 species
ACGGGAGGCAGCAGUGGGGAAUAUUGCACAAUGGGCGCAAGCCUGAUGCAGCCAUGCCGCGUGUAUGAAGAAGGCCUUCGGGUUGUAAAGUACUUUCAGCGGGGAGGAAGGCGUUGAGGUUAAUAACCUCAGCGAUUGACGUUACCCGCAGAAGAAGCACCGGCUAACUCCGUGCCAGCAGCCGCGGUAAUACGGAGGGUGCAAGCGUUAAUCGGAAUUACUGGGCGUAAAGCGCACGCAGGCGG